UACGAGGGGAGCUAGCGUUGUUCGGAAUUACUGGGCGUAAAGAGCGCGUAGGCGGUCUAUUAAGUUAGGUGUGAAAGCCCAUGGCUUAACCAUGGAACUGCAUUUGAUACUGGUAGACUAGAGUGCGAGAGAGGAUAGUGGAAUUCUUAGUGUAGAGGUGAAAUUCGUAGAUAUUAAGAGGAACACCAGUGGCGAAAGCGACUAUCUGGCUCGUGUCUGACGCUAAGGCGCGAAAGCGUGGGGAGCAAACAGG
rnacentral:rRNA from 1 species